CUACAUUCGAAUAUUGAUAAUACCAUUAGUAUUAUCAAGUUUUACGAUAGCUGAUGAAAUGGAAUUUGUUAACGAUUUGAAAAAAAUAUUUAAACAGAUAUCGCCCAAUAUUGACUUUUUCCCAGAAGAAGGAAAUUAUUGUGGUUCUAGGUUUUUUACAUGUAAUGAUAAAAAAAAAAUCACAGCUAUAGAAUUCAAAGAUGUUAAUGUAGACGGUAUAUACCUACC